GACGAACGCUGGCGGCGUGCUUAACACAUGCAAGUCGAACGGAAAGGCCCUGCUUUUGUGGGGUGCUCGAGUGGCGAACGGGUGAGUAACACGUGAGUAACCUGCCCUUGACUUUGGGAUAACUUCAGGAAACUGGGGCUAAUACCGGAUAGGAGCUCCUGCUGCAUGGUGGGGGUUGGAAAGUUUCGGCGGUUGGGGAUGGACUCGCGGCUUAUCAGCUUGUUGGUGGGGUAGUGGCUUACCAAGGCUUUGACGGGUAGCCGGCCUGAGAGGGUGACCGGCCACAUGGGGACUGGGAUACGGCCCAGACCCCUACGGGGGGCAGGGGUGGGGAAUAUUGCAAAAGGGGCGGAAGCCUGAUGCAGCAACGCCGGGUGGGGGAUGACGGCCUUCGGGUUGUAAACCGCUUUCGCCUGUGACGAAGCGUGAGUGACGGUAAUGGGGAAAGAAGCACCGGCUAACUACGU
rnacentral:rRNA from 1 species